UACGUAGGGUGCGAGCGUUGUCCGGAAUUAUUGGGCGUAAAGGGCUCGUAGGCGGUCUGUCGCGUCGGGAGUGAAAACUCGGGGCUUAACUCCGAGCCUGCUUCUGAUACGGGCAGACUAGAGGUAUGCAGGGGAGAAUGGAAUUCCUGGUGUAGCGGUGAAGUGCGCAGAUAUCAGGAGGAACACCGGUGGCGAAGGCGGUUCUCUGGGCAUGACCUGACGCUGAGGGGCGAAAGUGUGGGGAGCGAACAGG
rnacentral:rRNA from 1 species